rnacentral:rRNA from 1 species
UACGGGGGGAGCAAGCGUUGUUCGGAUUUACUGGGCGUAAAGGGCGCGUAGGCGGCCACCGCAAGUCGACUGUGAAAUCUCCGGGCUUAACCCGGAAAGGUCAGCCGAUACUGCGGGGCUAGAGUGCAGAAGGGGCAACUGGGAAUUCUCGGUGUAGCGGUGAAAUGCGUAGAUAUCGAGAGGAACACCUGCGGCGAAGGCGGGUUGCUGGGCUGACACUGACGCUGAGGCGCGAAAGCUAGGGGAGCAAACGGG